GCCUUCAUGGUGUAGUAGUCAGCACACUCGACACGCAACCGAGAGGUCCAUGGUUCGAUUCCCGGUGAAGGCG
rnacentral:tRNA from 1 species